GGGGAAUUGUUCACAAUGGGCGCAAGCCUGAUGACGCAAUGCCGCGUGGAGGAUGAAGGUUUUCGGAUUGUAAACUCCUGUUGCCAGGGACGAAUGGCUCCGACCUAAUACGUCGGAGAAUGACGGUACCUGGUGAGGAAGCCCCGGCUAACUCUGUGCCAGCAGCCGCGGUAAUACGUAGGGGGCGAGCGUUGUCCGGAUUUAUUGGGCGUAAAGAGCUCGUAGGCGGUUUGGUAAGUCACGGGUGAAAUCUCCACGCUCAACGUGGAGGCGCCCCGUGAGACUGCUAUGACUAGAGUCCGGUAGAGGAGUGUGGAAUUCCCGGUGUAGCGGUGAAAUGCGCAGAGAUCGGGAGGAACACCCGUAGCGAAGGCGGCACUCUGGGCCGGUACUGACGCUCAGGAGCGAAAGCGUGGGGAGCAAAC
rnacentral:rRNA from 1 species